GUUUCUGUCUUUGGUUAUCUAGCUGUAUGAGUGUUAAAUACCUGUCAUAAAGCUAGAUAACCGAAAGUAGAAAU
ensembl:miRNA MIR9-3 microRNA 9-3